CUGGGUGCAGAUACCGGAGUGGGAAACACCCGGAUCCAUCCCGAACCCGGCCGUUAAGCCACUUCGGGCCGAUGGUAGUGCGGGGGGGAGCCCCGUGCGAGAGUAGGUAGUGCCCAGG
rnacentral:rRNA from 1 species